rnacentral:lncRNA from 1 species
CCCAGCUCCACUUACCAGGCCGCGGCUACCCCGCCGUCCCCCCCGACUCCCGCCACCCCGCUCUCUCAGGCUCUUCAGGAUCCAAGUCCGUAGGCCCUUUAAGGGGUCUAGUUGCCGUUUGCGAGGCCCUGGGACUUUGGUCCCAGACAGCGGGGAUCCGGAUGGCUUCCGUGCGGAUCCGAGAGGCCAAGGAGGGAGACUGUGGAGAUAUCCUGAGGCUGAUUCGGGAGCUAGCCGAAUUCGAAAAACUCUCGGAUCAGGUGAAGAUCAGUGAAGAAGGUGGGGGCUCAGCGCCCAGGUUCUGGCGGAGGCUGGGGAGGAAAUGAGGGAUGGGUUCCCCAGGCGACAGCUCCAGGCUGGGCAUACACCCACGUCCUCUUUCUCUAUCUCUUUGUCACAACUCCAAUCUCGGCAGCCCUGAGAGCAGAUGGCUUUGGAGACAAUCCUUUCUAUCACUGUUUGGUAGCAGAGAUUCUUCCAGCGCCCGGGAAGCUACUGGGUCAAGGGAUUGGUUCCAAAAUAAUCAAAAAGGUGGCUGAGGUGGCCUUGGAUAAGGGCUGCUCCCAAUUCCGCCUGGCCGUCCUGGACUGGAACCAGAGGGCCAUGGACUUGUACAAGGCCCUAGGAGCCCAAGAUCUGACGGAAGCUGAGGGCUGGCACUUCUUCUGCUUUCAAGGAGAGGCAACGAGAAAGUUGGCAGGAAAGUGACGCCAUCCCUAGGAGGAUCUCUGUCUUGAGUUUCUCCUUCCCCA